GGCUCAGGACGACGCUGGCGGCGUGCCUAACACAUGCAAGUCGAGCGGAGUUAACAAGAGGAAGUCUUCGGAUGGAAUUUGUAAUUAGCGGCGGACGGGUGAGUAACGCGUGAGCGACCAACCUUGCACAGGGGGAUAACGGACCGAAAGGUUCACUAAUACCGCAUGAGACCACGGUGUUGCAUGACACAGAGGUCAAAGGAGCAAUCCGGUGCAAGACGGGCUCGCGUCCGAUUAGGUAGUUGGUGGGGUAAUGGCCCACCAAGCCUAUGAUCGGUAGCCGACCUGAGAGGGUGAUCGGCCACAUUGGAACUGAGAUACGGUCCAAACUCCUACGGGAGGCGGCAGUGGGGAAUAUUGGGCCAAUGGGGGAAACCCUGACCCAGCAACGCCGCGUGAAGGAAGAAGGUUUUCGGAUUGUAAACUUCUGUCCUUGGUGAAGAGAAGAAGACGGUAGCCAAGGAGGAAGCCCCGGCUAACUACGUGCCAGCCGCGGC
rnacentral:rRNA from 1 species